rnacentral:tRNA from 1 species
GGAAGAGCGGCCAUUUGGUUUGGCAAACGGUCCCGAAAACCGUCGCGGGUGACACCGUAGCAGGUUCGAUUCCUGUCUCUUCCG